AGUAGAGUCAGCUAAAAAAGCUUCCGGGCCCAUACCCCGACAAUGUUGGUACCCACUCCUUCCUAUACUA
rnacentral:tRNA from 1 species